ACUACAAAAUCUACACAAAGAGCUGAUCAAAGAAUAUAAAACACCUAACCACAAAAAUGGAAUAAGUAAAUAGCAUCAUUGCACUUGAAGGAAUAGCCAUAAAUUAAAGUAGCAAAGAUAUGCCCUUUGCAGAUGCAGCGUGGUCAUUGUCUGACCAUAACACUGAGAAAGCAGUUCUCCAAACAAGGGUACUGUGCUCCUUCUGCCAGUGUUGACUGUAAAGUGUCAACUAACAGAGAGAAAACCUUGACAGCAGCAUCUUUGAUCUGAAGCAUGAACUCACACCUGAAGUUGGUUGUUAAUUAAAGUACAGGCAUUAAAGCCUUUUAUGGGCAUUUUCAACAAACUAAAGGGAAGGAAGCCAAAUAGGGACAGUUAGCAUGCACAGACAAUGUCCCACAAUUUUUUUUUACAGUAUAUGUAAUGUGAGCUGAAUACUUAUGAAAACCUGAAACUAAUAUUUUCAGUAUAGGAAGAAAAACCCAUUUGUCACAUUAGCAGCUCACCAUGUUCCAUCUCUUCUAAGAG